GGGUCGAUCAACUUUUUAACCGACAUAAGCUUGUCCCGACGAUAUCGCAUUCAAAAACGACUAAAUUAAGAUAAUUUAAAAAUUAUUUUUAAGUUCCAUUCAAUUAACAGUUCAGAAACCUUAAUAAUAAACAUAUGAAAUCUAGAUAAUAUAAAGAAAUAAACAUUAAAACUAUGGUAACUCAGCAUACGACUUCUUGCCUUCCAUACAAAUUACAGCUGUCCCCAGAGCGAGGUGGCUAUAUGUAAUUUCUAAUGUAAGAAAAAUUUUCCUUUAAGAGUAUUCAAGUCAGCUAAUAAAUUGCUUAUAAAUUAAACAAGGUUUAGUUUGUACUUUGUAAAAUAUAAAAAUAUGUUAUGAUUUUAAAGAAAAAAGUCCCUAAAAUUGUGUCCCGAAUUCAUCCCAUUUUGUAGUGUAUGCAGAGUUACCGCGUAAAAAAUAAACAAACAUUAUGCUACACGUCACAAAUUUCUAAUGAAGAACAGCGGUACAACCUUUGUUUUUGGCCGCGCGGCGGCGAGCCUUUGAUUGCAGCCGCCGCGCGGCCAGGCCGCGGCAAGCUAUCGAUGAGUGCGCGUGUGUUUAUUCAGUGUCGGCGGAGUUACCGGAUUAUUUCGAUGAACAGAUUGUAAACUCACUAAUAAUGGCGUUAACGGCGGCCGAAAAGCAGAAAAGGUUCCGUGAAAAAUUAAAAAAAAAUCCCGAAAAAUAUGAGGAGGCGAAACGAUGUCCUUAAAUUUAUGAGCCGUUUUUGUGAGGUAACAAUAUGUGAUUGAUUUUAUUUGAAUGAUUAUUUUAUGGUAACAGUAAAAGAUGAUUAAUUACUUCAAUUUCAGAGAAAAGUGUGAUUUUAUUUUAAGUUUUUAAAUAAGUACAGAGAAAAUUAACAAUAUGUAUGACUCGUUAGUAACUCAGCAUACAUAUUUCUCAUAUUUUAAGGCCUAAGUUUUAAAAUUAUAUACAAAUGCUGUAUACCAAACUAUUUGAUUUUGCA